rnacentral:rRNA from 1 species
AUACGGAGGGUGCGAGCGUUAAUCGGAAUUACUGGGCGUAAAGGGUACGUAGGCGGUUAUUUAAGUUGGAUGUGAAAUCCCCGGGCUCAACCUGGGAACUGCAUCCAAAACUGGGUGACUAGAGUGUAUAAGAGGUUAGCGGAAUUCCAGGUGUAGCAGUGAAAUGCGUAGAUAUCUGGAGGAACAUCAGUGGCGAAGGCGGCUAACUGGUAUAACACUGACGCUGAGGUACGAAAGCGUGGGGAGCGAACGGGAUUAGAUACCCUAGUAGUCC